rnacentral:SRP_RNA from 2 species
GCUGGGCGUGGUGGCUCCCACCUGUAGUCCCAGCUACUCAGGAGGCUGAGACAGGAGGAUUGCUUGAGCCCAGGAAGUCAAGGCUGCAGUGAGCCAUGAUCACACCACUGCACUCCAGCCUGGGUGACAGAGUGAGACCCUGUCUCAA